rnacentral:lncRNA from 1 species
AAUGUAUUUCAAAAGAAUGAUGGCAUAUAUUUGAGAAGUGAUUCAAGAACACAUGUGUAAAUGGGGUAAUAACACUAAAAUGAUAAAAUAUGGCCUUGUAAGAAGAUUAAAAUAUACAAUUUAAAAUCAAGAGAGGACAUAGAAAACAAAAUAACAUUUACAUGAAAAGGAGAUUCAGAUAUACAGAGUAGCAAAAUAUUACAGAUUUUAGUUGUUGUUUUACGUUUGAAGUUUUAUCUUUUACAUUGUGAAAAUAUUGUUUUAAUUAUAGGGCAAUGGAUACCUUCAGCAAAGGUCAAUACAUUGCCCCUAAAUUAAAAGUAAAGGAAAGGUUUACCAAAACAAUGACAGCAUGCCUGUAGACUUGACAUUAGGGAAAAGCUUGAAAUUACACGUGUCUAAAUAUAAGGUACACGUUUCCUUAACAUUUGCAAUAAUGGAAACAGUAGAGUGGCAAUGAUAACAUUGCCAUUUAGGUGUUCACUGAAUGUUUAUUAAUGUCCAUAUUUAUGUGACAUUAGGCUGACACAUUUAUACACACUGAAAGUAUUAAUCAUUUUAUUAAAAUAAAGACAACUUUGUAUUACAUAAUCACAUAAAAUCAUCUUCUAAGUAUCAUACAGCAGAACGUAUAUAUGAAAUCUCUAACCUGAAAAAAUUAUCAGUUGUCUCGCUCCAAUAUCAAUUACAAUAAAAUUACAAAGUAAUGCUUUUUCCCAAGGUGGGAUGGAAAGAGGUGGACCAGGCAGGGAUGCAUGGGCAGCAGCUUUAAACGUUCUGUGAAUGGUGCCUCUUGUACACGGCAAUUGCUCAAAGGAUAAAGGAAAUUUGUGUUCAGCCAGGGUAUGUGGUUAAAAUUUGAAUACAGUUAUCUGCAAACUAAUCUCUUCUGCCACAGUAGUAGAACUAAAGAAAAACUGGUACGUGAGGAUGUGAGGCUAUUUCUAAAAGGCCUGCAGAAAUGAUCUUGGUGGCUGGGCAGCUGAAAGUCCAAAGCUUCAGGGCUUCUGAGAGCUUUGCAGUCAGCCUGAGUUAGGUCAUCUCUGUUCCUUGAUAAAUGAAUAACUCUUCCAUUGCCUGGGAUACAAUUAAAGUACUGGCAGACAAACCUCAGACUUUACCUGGCUGAAUGAUCACGUUCAAAAUGGGAUAUGUUAUGUUUUUCAUUAGAUCGUUUCCAUUUUCUAAACUUUUUCAUUUUCCACCUAUAAAAGCAUUCAGGCUGGAAACUUCAUCUUGAAUACAUCAGUUUCACCACUGUAUCGAGAAAGAUGCAGGUUUAUAUUUUUAAGACCCAGUUGAAUUAAUCGCUCAACUCUCGUUCAAAUUUCCAUCAGCACCUAGUCCAACACUGGCUCUCCAAUGCAAUAAUGAAAAUAUCGGAGUGCUAUGAAGACACCAUCCCGCAGCCUUUUUAGUCUCCAUAUUGGAUCUUCUGUCAAAAUAGGAGAUGUUGUUCAGCAUAUUGAUGGUAAAUUUGGUAUAGGACCACAACAGAAAUUGUCUGUUUGCCUCUUCGUGAGACGUUCCUGCCAAUCACAGUUUAAUUCAGCAGUACCUGUACAGUGUGUCGGCAGGGAUUUUUAGAAGGUCAGAAGGCCAAAAACUAUUAAUUGAUUAUUCUGCUUACUGUAGCUAAUUCUGGAUUUGCACUGUCAACAGAAAGCUGAUAAAAUCUUCUUGGGUUCUGAAGAACAAUGCUCUCGGGCACCCAGCGGAAUUUCAUGCAAUAUCCAGGAGCUGGCCUGUUCAGCUGCAGCAUGUAGUUAGAUGGAGUUCUUAUUUUCUUUUCUGUUACGCACACUGCAGUAGGGAGCCUCAUAGAGCUUUAUUUUUGUCAAUCUUUUCUGAAGAAACUUUCUCAGGACCGCAAAAAUAUGAGUUAUAUUUUGACCAAAAACGAGGCAAGGUGUAAUAUAGAAUCCAAGGAGAAAUCUGACUUAUAAAAUUCUGUGAUUUUUUUCUUUAAUGAAAUCAGAUGAGAGUCAGUGACUUUCAGACUUUAAGAAAAGAAAAAGUAAUUCUUAUUAGAUUAAUAUUUAAUUUUCAUUAAACAUACACCCUACAAAUCGUUUUGUGUAUUAUUUUUAUAUAUGAUAGGAUUUUCAACAAAGUUAUUAAAUAAACAUUAGGCAGUGUUUUCCAAGAAUACAAUUCUGUGUCUGCCUUCUUGUGGAAUUGGACUCUGACAAGGUAAAGGAAAAUUCUACAAGACCUGGGAAACACAUGCAUUGGAGCUUAUCUUUUAAGUUAUCUGGGGUAUGUACUUAUUGGAAGUGCAUAUAUAUAGUAUGACUGCAUUUUAUGCAGUGACUAAAACCUGGAGAAAUUGUUUAGCUGUGUUACUUUAUUGACAUCAUGUCAGUCAGUAUCUAGGCUCAUAGCAAUUUUUACAUGUGGAAGGGAAAGGACUUACUGAUAAAGUCAGGCCUCCAUCAUUUUGAGAGUGGUGAAAACGGAGCUUUUACCGCGAUGUGCCAAGGUCACAUAUGUAGUUUUCUGAAGAUCUGGAACCAGAUGCCAGAUGUCCAGGCUUCCUGUCUUUUCUCUAUAACCCAUGUAGUCAAGCCCUUCUAACCCAAGGGGAAUGCAGGAAAUAAAUAUGCUCGGGCUGGGCCCUUUCUGUACAGCCAAGUCUAUUGCUCUUCUUCUGGUCAAGUAAUCAUUUCUCAAAGUUCUAUCAAACAUCAUUUGUUUAGAAGGCUCACUUAUGUGACUACUGGUUUCCUUCUGUAUUAAUAGAAUAAAAUUUUCCUACUUGAAAUUACUUCAUGUAAACCUCAUUGUCAAAAAUAGCCAGGUCAGAAAUAUUAUCUGAAACUUGGAAACAGGCAAGAGAUAUUCCAGGGUGUUCUUUCUGAGCAGUGCUAGGCUUGAAUGACUAUUGUCUGAGUUGUUUCACAACUCUGUAGAGGUGGAAGUUAAUGUGUAGAUUUUUGUCCAGUAGAGAUGCAGAUAAUUCUAUCAAAUGGAACAGGUUACUUCAAAGGUCACAGUUUAUGGCCC